rnacentral:rRNA from 1 species
UUAGAGUUUGAUCCUGGCUCAGAUUGAAACGCUGGCGGCAGGCCUAACACAUGCAAGUCGAACGGUAACAGGAAGCAGCUUGCUGCUUCGCUGACGAGUGGCGGACGGGUGAGUAAUGUCUGGGAAGCUGCCUGAUGGAGGGGGAUAACUACUGGAAACGGUAGCUAAUACCGCAUAAUGUCGCAAGACCAAAGAGGGGGACCUUCGGGCCUCUUGCCAUCGGAUGUGCCCAGAUGGGAUUAGCUUGUUGGUGGGGUAACGGCUCACCAAGGCGACGAUCCCUAGCUGGUCUGAGAGGAUGACCAGCCACACUGGUACUGAGACACGGUCCAGACUCCUACGGGAGGCAGCAGUGGGGAAUAUUGCACAAUGGGCGCAAGCCUGAUGCAGCCAUGCCGCGUGUAUGAAGAAGGCCUUCGGGUUGUAAAGUACUUUCAGCGGGGAGGAAGGGAGUAAAGUUAAUACCUUUGCUCAUUGACGUUACCCGCAGAAGAAGCACCGGCUAACUCCGUGCCAGCAGCCGCGGUAAUACGGAGGGUGCAAGCGUUAAUCGGAAUUACUGGGCGUAAAGCGCACGCAGGCGGUUUGUUAAGUCAGAUGUGAAAUCCCCGGGCUCAACCUGGGAACUGCAUCUGAUACUGGCAAGCUUGAGUCUCGUAGAGGGGGGUAGAAUUUCCAGGUGUAGCGGUGAAAUGCGUAGAGAUCUGGAGGAAUACCCGGUGGCGAAGGCGGCCCCCUGGACGAAGACUGACGCUCAGGUGCGAAAGCGUGGGGAGCAAACAGGAUUAGAUACCCUGGUAGUCCACGCCGUAAACGAUGUCGACUUGGAGGUUGUGCCCUUGAGGCGUGGCUUCCGGAGCUAACGCGUUAAGUCGACCGCCUGGGGAGUACGGCCGCAAGGUUAAAACUCAAAUGAAUUGACGGGGGCCCGCACAAGCGGUGGAGCAUGUGGUUUAAUUCGAUGCAACGCGAAGAACCUUACCUGGUCUUGACAUCCACGGAAGUUUUCAGAGAUGAGAAUGUGCCUUCGGGAACCGUGAGACAGGUGCUGCAUGGCUGUCGUCAGCUCGUGUUGUGAAAUGUUGGGUUAAGUCCCGCAACGAGCGCAACCCUUAUCCUUUGUUGCCAGCGGUCCGGCCGGGAACUCAAAGGAGACUGCCAGUGAUAAACUGGAGGAAGGUGGGGAUGACGUCAAGUCAUCAUGGCCCUUACGACCAGGGCUACACACGUGCUACGAUGGCGCAUACAAAGAGAAGCGACCUCGCGAGAGCAAGCGGACCUCAUAAAGUGCGUCGUAGUCCGGAUUGGAGUCUGCAACUCGACUCCAUGAAGUCGGAAUCGCUAGUAAUCGUGGAUCAGAAUGCCACGGUGAAUACGUUCCCGGGCCUUGUACACACCGCCCGUCACACCAUGGGAGUGGGUUGCAAAAGAAGUAGGUAGCUUAACCUUCGGGAGGGCGCUUACCACUUUGUGAUUCAUGACUGGGGUGAAGUCGUAACAAGGUAACCGUAGGGGAACCUGCGGCAGGAUCACCUCCUUA